GAGGGUAUAGCUCAGUGGUAGAGCACAUGCUUAGUAUGAAGGAGGUCCUGGGUUCAAUCCCCAGUACCUCCU
rnacentral:tRNA from 1 species